rnacentral:tRNA from 1 species
CAGCUUAGCUCAGUUGGUAGAGCGCUCCACUGGAGGUUGAGAGGUCCUGGGUUCGAUGCCCGAACCUGGCG